UGCAGCCCUAUUUGGAAGAUUUACACACAAUCGAAGGAUUCUUCUUCGUUGAAGAACUCUAUUUCGGUCCAUUGGUGAAAUUAUAGCCACUGCAGGCAUUUCCAAGUGUUGUGUUGCUUUAUAAUUAUGAGUGAAAGUUCAUUGUCCGACGAAGAAAUCGUCUUGCAUUGAAGACAUACUACAAAAGCACAACACACGGACCGUGAUCAUUAUCCGUGAAUUCUUGAAACUGACUAAUGGUUCUAAGUGGAUUAAAAAGAACCAGGCACGGCGUUUAUUUCGCCGUCUGACCCGCAUACCUACCCAGGUCAAUCGUCUUACUAGAUUGACAGGUGUUAGUGAUAGGGACUGCAUAAAUAAUCUACGCAUGGACCGAAAUUGUUUCGGGAGACUAUGUAUUCUUCUUAGAGAAGGAGCUGGGUUGGUAGAUGGAUCAUUUGUUAAAGUAGAGGAACAAGUGGCUUUAUUUUUAUGUGUUUUAUCACAUCACAAAAAGAACCGGGUGGUUAGUUUUGAUUUUUUAA